rnacentral:rRNA from 3 species
UUAAGUUAACAAGGGCGCAUGGUGAAUGCCUUGGCACUAGGAGCCGAUGAAGGACGGGACUAACACCGAUAUGCUUCGGGGAGCUGUACGUAAGCUAUGAUCCGGAGAUUUCCGAAUGGGGCAACCCAGCAGUUUUAAUCAACUGUUACCACUAGAUGAAUUCAUAGUCUAGUUGGAGGUAAACGCUGUGAACUGAAACAUCUCAUUAGCAGCAGGAAUAUAAAGAAAUUUCGAUUCCCUAAGUAGCGGCGAGCGAACGGGGAACAGCCCAAACCAAAGUGCUUGCACUUUGGGGUUGUAGGACUGAACAUUUGAGUUACCAAAGAACUUGAUAGUCGAAGGAUUUGGGAAAAUCCGCCAUAGAUGGUGAUAGCCCAGUAGAUUAAAUCAAAUUCUCUCAGUUCAGGAUCCUGAGUACGGCGGAACACGUGAAAUUCCGUCGGAAUCCGGGAGGACCAUCUCCCAAGGCUAAAUACUACCUAGUGACCGAUAGUGAACCAGUACCGUGAGGGAAAGGUGAAAAGCACCCCGGGAGGGGAGUGAAAUAGUUCCUGAAACCAUGUGCCUACAAUAAGUCAGAGCGCGUUAAUGCGUGAUGGCGUGCCUUUUGUAGAAUGAACCGGCGAGUUAUGAUCCCGUGCAAGGUUAAGACUAAAAAGUCGGAGCCGUAGCGAAAGCGAGUCUGAAAUGGGCGUUUUGAGUACGAGGUUAUAGACCCGAAACCAGGUGACCUAUCCAUGUCCAGGUUGAAGGUGCGGUAAAACGCACUGGAGGACCGAACCCGUGUAAGUUGAAAAUUGCUGGGAUGAGGUGUGGAUAGCGGUGAAAUUCCAAACGAACUUGGAGAUAGCUGGUUCUCUCCGAAAUAGCUUUAGGGCUAGCCUCGGAAUUAGGAUCAUGGAGGUAGAGCACUAUUUGGACUAGGGGCCCGUCUUGGGUUACUGAAUUCAGAUAAACUCCGAAUGCCAUUGAUUCAUAUCCGGGAGUCAGACGAUGAGUGAUAAGAUCCACCGUCGAAAGGGGAACAGCCCAGACCAUCAGUUAAGGUCCCUAAAUGUAUGCUAAGUGGAAAAGGAUGUGGAGUUGCAUAGACAACUAGGAUGUUGGCUCAGAAGCAGCCACCAUUUAAAGAGUGCGUAAUAGCUCACUAGUCGAGUGAUCCUGCGCCGAAAAUGUACCGGGGCUAAGCAUACUACCGAAACCAUGGAUGCGACCAUUAGGUCGCGUGAUAGGAGAGCGUUCUAAGGGCGGUGAAGCAAGAUCGUGAGGACUUGUGGAGCGCUUAGAAGUGAGAAUGCCGGUAUGAGUAGCGAAAGAUAGGUGAGAAUCCUAUCCACCGAAUGACUAAGGUUUCCUGGGGAAGGCUCGUCCUCCCAGGGUUAGUCGGGACCUAAGUCGAGGCCGAGAGGCGUAGACGAUGGAUAACAGGUUGAGAUUCCUGUACUAGUUAAGUGCGUUUGAGCAAUGGAGGGACGCAGGAGGCUAAGAUGUGCAUUCUGUUGGAUUAGAAUGUCCAAGCAGUAAGUCUUGUGAAGAGUCAAAUGCUUUUCACUUUAAGGACAAGCUGUGAUGGGGAGCGAAAUUUAGUAGCGAAGCGUCUGAUGUCACACUGCCGAGAAAAGCUUCUAGUGAGUACUUAACUACCCGUACCGCAAACCGACACAGGUAGUCGAGGAGAGAAUCCUAAGGUGAGCGAGUGAACUCUCGUUAAGGAACUCGGCAAAAUGACCCCGUAACUUCGGGAGAAGGGGUGCUGAUCGCAAGAUCAGCCGCAGUGAAUAGGCCCAGGCGACUGUUUAUCAAAAACACAGGUCUCUGCAAAAUCGUAAGAUGACGUAUAGGGGCUGACGCCUGCCCGGUGCUGGAAGGUUAAAAGGAUGGGUUAGCUUCGGCGAAGCUCAGAAUUGAAGCCCCAGUAAACGGCGGCCGUAACUAUAACGGUCCUAAGGUAGCGAAAUUCCUUGUCGGGUAAGUUCCGACCCGCACGAAAGGCGUAACGAUCUGGGCACUGUCUCAACGAGAGACUCGGUGAAAUUAUAUUGUCCGUGAAGAUGCGGACUACCCGCGACAGGACGGAAAGACCCCAUGGAGCUUUACUGUAGCUUGAUAUUGAGUGUUUGUACAGCUUGUACAGGAUAGGUAGGAGCCAUAGAAACCGGAACGCUAGUUUCGGUGGAGGCGUUGGUGGGAUACUACCCUCGCUGUAUGACCACUCUAACCCGCACCACUAAUCGUGGUGGGAGACAGUGUCAGGUGGGCAGUUUGACUGGGGCGGUCGCCUCCUAAAAAGUAACGGAGGCGCCCAAAGGUUCCCUCAGAAUGGUUGGAAAUCAUUCGCAGAGUGUAAAGGCACAAGGGAGCUUGACUGCGAGACAGACAGGUCGAGCAGGGACGAAAGUCGGGCUUAGUGAUCCGGUGGUACCGUAUGGAAGGGCCAUCGCUCAACGGAUAAAAGCUACCCUGGGGAUAACAGGCUUAUCUCCCCCAAGAGUCCACAUCGACGGGGAGGUUUGGCACCUCGAUGUCGGCUCAUCGCAUCCUGGGGCUGUAGUCGGUCCCAAGGGUUGGGCUGUUCGCCCAUUAAAGCGGUACGCGAGCUGGGUUCAGAACGUCGUGAGACAGUUCGGUCCCUAUCCGUCGCGGGCGUAGGAAAUUUGAGAGGACCUGUCCUUAGUACGAGAGGACCGGGAUGGACAUACCUCUGGUGUACCAGUUGUGCCGCCAGGCGCAUCGCUGGGUAGCUACGUAUGGAUGUGAUAAACGCUGAAAGCAUCUAAGUGUGAAACACACCUCGAGAUGAGAUUUCCCAUUCCUUUAUGGAAGUAAGACCCCUGAAAGAUGAUCAGGUAGAUAGGUUAGAAGUGGCAGUGCGGUGACGCAUGAAGCGGACUAAUACUAAUCGGUCGAGGACUUAACC